GGGGAUGUGGCUCAAUGGUUAGAGCAUCUGCUCAGCACGCAGAAGGUCCCAGGUUCAAUCCCCGGCAUCUCCA